rnacentral:rRNA from 1 species
UGAAGAAUUUGUCCAACGGUGGGGGAUAGCCGGCCCAACGGCCGGGUAAUACCGCGUACGCCCUUCGAGCGGCAUCGCUUGAUGGGGAAAGUCGCAAGACGCCGAUGGAGAACUUCGCGGCCUAUCAACUAGUUGGUGAGGUCAUGGCUCACCAAGGCGACGACGGGUAGCUGGUCCGAGAGGAUGACCAGCCACAUUGGGACUGAGACACGGCCCAGACCUCCCGUAACGGGGAGGCAG